rnacentral:rRNA from 1 species
GAUGAACGCUGGCGGCGUGCUUAACACAUGCAAGUCGAACGGGAUCCCAGGAGCUUGCUCCUGGGUGAGAGUGGCGAACGGGUGAGUAAUGCGUGACCGACCUGCCCCAUACACCGGAAUAGCUCCUGGAAACGGGUGGUAAUGCCGGAUGCUCCAGUUGACCGCAUGGUCCUCUGGGAAAGAUUCAUCGGUAUGGGAUGGGGUCGCGUCCUAUCAGCUUGAUGGCGGGGUAACGGCCCACCAUGGCUUCGACGGGUAGCCGGCCUGAGAGGGCGACCGGCCACAUUGGGACUGAGAUACGGCCCAGACUCCUACGGGAGGCAGCAGUGGGGAAUAUUGCACAAUGGGCGCAAGCCUGAUGCAGCGACGCCGCGUGCGGGAUGACGGCCUUCGGGUUGUAAACCGCUUUUGACUGGGAGCAAGCCCUUCGGGGUGAGUGUACCUUUCGAAUAAGCACCGGCUAA